rnacentral:rRNA from 1 species
GCACGGAGUUAGCCGGGGCUUCUUCUCUCGGUACCGUCACUCCGGCGGUGUAUUAGACCGCCAGCCAUUCGUCCCGAUCGAAAGGAGUUUACGACCCGAAGAUCUUCAUCCUCCACGCGGCGUUGCGUCGUCAGGCUUGCGCCCAUUGCGAACAAUUCCCCACUGCUGCCUCCCGUAGGAGUCUGGGCCGUGUCUCAGUCCCAGUGUGGCCGUCCGCCCUCUCAGGCCGGCUACCGAUCGUCGCCUUGGUAGGCCUUUACCCCACCAACUAGCUAAUCGGACGCGAGCCCCUCCUCGAGCGCCAGGUCUUGCGAUCCCCGGCUUUAAUGUCCGCCUGUUCAAAGGCAGGAUGUCAUGCGGUAUUAGCACCCCUUUCGGGAUGUUAUCCCCCACUCGAGGGUAGGUCACCCACGUGUUACUCACCCGUUCGCCACUCUACUCAGGGCCGAAGCCCCUUUCGCGUUCGACUUGCAUGUGUUAGGCACGCCGCCAGCGUUGAUU